UAGCCCAAUGACAGAGCCAACAACAACUACACCUGAACCAACGUCAGUGACAACUGAACUGCCUACAGCACCACCAACCACAACCGAAGUUCCAAUGACAGAGCCAACAACAACUACACCCGAACCAACGACAACGACAACAGAGGUCCCCACAACUGAGCCGCCUACAACCCAACCCACCACGACUCCCUCAGGACCAUCCCUGCCAGAAGUGGCGGAUAAAACAUUCUUAACCGCUUGCCCGCAAGAAUGUGUCCACAACGAUCUGGUCGGUUCGCGGUGUACUGGAGCAACGCUUUCCGAGGAAUGUAACAACCUUCAACCUCCGGCGACUGACGGCUCGUACACCUGCUGUUCGGGUUAACAACGUGAACGCCUCCACAUUUCAACCGAACGCUAAACUCCAUCCGAUUUCUAUUUUCAAUAUUCAACAAAAGCUUUCGAAAAGUAAACAGGAUCUUCUUAUUGAAGAGAGUCUUGUCCGUAUGCAGACUGAUUGUGGACAUCAACUGCCAGCAGUGAAGUCCAGCCUGUGCUGCAACAGCACUGUCAGCAUUGGCAGAAGCCAUCGAAAUUAUCACGGCAUCGUUGCAGGCAAAUAUCAUUGUACAUCUCGACACGAACUCUUCUCCUUCGCCAACCUUCCAAAAUGAAAAUAAAACUGGUAAUGCAGCAAUA
rnacentral:misc_RNA from 1 species